rnacentral:SRP_RNA from 1 species
UCGUGCUAGACGGAGAGUUAGCGGUGCUUUGUAACCUGCAAUCCGCUGUAGCAGGGUUGAAUUCCCCAUCGAGGCGCCAAAGUUUGAGGUCAGCCAGAGGCAAGUGGCGUUGAGAGUUGGACCCUUCGCAAUAGAAACUUAUGAACCCCGUCAGGUCAGGAAUGAAGCAGCGGUAAGUAAGACCUUCUAUGUGCCGGAGG